GAGUUUGAUCAUGGCUCAGAACGAACGCUGGCGGCAUGCCUAACACAUGCAAGUCGAACGAGACCUUCGGGUCUAGUGGCGCACGGGUGCGUAACGCGUGGGAAUCUGCCCAAAGGUACGGAAUAACUCCUCGAAAGGGGUGCUAAUACCGUAUGAUGUCGCAAGACCAAAGAUUUAUCGCCUUUGGAUGAGCCCGCGUAGGAUUAGCUAGUUGGUGGGGUAAAGGCCUACCAAGGCGACGAUCCUUAGCUGGUCUGAGAGGAUGAUCAGCCACACUGGGACUGAGACACGGCCCAGACUCCUACGGGAGGCAGCAGUGGGGAAUAUUGGACAAUGGGCGAAAGCCUGAUCCAGCAAUGCCGCGUGAGUGAUGAAGGCCCUAGGGUUGUAAAGCUCUUUUACCCGGGAUGAUAAUGACAGUACCGGGAGAAUAAGCCCCGGCUAACUCCGUGCCAGCCGCCGCGGUAAG
rnacentral:rRNA from 1 species